rnacentral:lncRNA from 1 species
CUUGUGAGUCAUAAGAUGACCAAGAGAUCACACGGCGAGAGACUGAAAGAAAAGCAGCAAAGCCCUGGGUAAUCAAGGCCCUAAACGGAAAGUGUCAGGAUCUUGGGACUGAUCGCCUUGAAGAACCAGAAUAUAAAGAGGUUACGUCGGGGGAACAUUACCAUUUAUUUAUUGGCUUACUCUGAAAGACAAAUCGUAUUGUAUAAAAUGGAUGAAAGCAGAGCUAUUGGGUUUGAAGCA